rnacentral:rRNA from 1 species
AUACGGAGGGUGCAAGCGUUAAUCGGAAUCACUGGGCGUAAAGCGCGCGCAGGCGGCCAUUUAAGUUGGAUGUGAAAGCCUACGGCUCAACCGUAGAACUGCAUCCAAAACUAUUUGGCUAGAGUGUGGGAGAGGAAGAUGGAAUUAGUUGUGUAGGGGUAAAAUCCGUAGAGAUAACUAGGAAUACCAAAAGCGAAGGCAAUCUUCUGGAACAUUACUGACGCUGAGGUGCGAAAGCGUGGGGAGCAAACAGGAUUAGAAACCCGAGUAGUCC